rnacentral:rRNA from 1 species
UACGUAGGGGGCUAGCGUUGUCCGGAAUCAUUGGGCGUAAAGAGCGCGUAGGCGGCCCGAUAAGUCUGCUGUGAAAGUCCAGGGCUCAACCCUGGAAUGCCGGUGGAUACUGUCGGGCUAGAGUACGGAAGAGGCGAGUGGAAUUCCUGGUGUAGCGGUGGAAUGCGCAGAUAUCAGGAGGAACACCAAUAGCGAAGGCAGCUCGCUGGGACGUUACUGACGCUGAGGCGCGAAAGCGUGGGGAGCAAACAGG